rnacentral:rRNA from 1 species
GAACCAGCGGAAGGAUCAUU